AGACACACAGGCAGACAUACUGACAAACACACAGACAUACUGACACACAGACAUACUGACACACACACAGGCAGACAUACUGACACACACAGACAUACUGACACACACACAGACACACAGACAUACUGACACACACACAGACAUACUGACAAACACACACACAGGCAUACUGACAUACACAGACACACACACAGACAUACACACAGACAUACUGACAUA